rnacentral:rRNA from 1 species
UGGGGAAUUUUGGACAAUGGGCGCAAGCCUGAUCCAGCAAUGCCGCGUGCAGGAUGAAGGCCUUCGGGUUGUAAACUGCUUUUGUACGGAGCGAAAAGGUCUGCCCUAAUACGGUGGGCUCAUGACGGUACCGUAAGAAUAAGCACCGGCUAACUACGUGCCAGCAGCCGCGGUAAUACGUAGGGUGCGAGCGUUAAUCGGAAUUACUGGGCGUAAAGCGUGCGCAGGCGGUUAUAUAAGACAGAUGUGAAACCCCCGGGCUCAACCUGGGACCUGCAUUAGUGACUGUAUAGCUAGAGUACGGUAGACGGGGAUGGAAUUCCGCGUGUAGCAGUGAAAUGCGUAGAUAUGCGGAGGAACACCGAUGGCGAAGGCAAUCCCCUGGACCUGUACUGACGCUCAUGUACGAAAGCGUGGGGAGCAAACA